rnacentral:rRNA from 1 species
AUUGAACGCUGGCGGCAUGCUUUACACAUGCAAGUCGAACGGUAACAGGGAGCUUGCUCCGCUGACGAGUGGCGAACGGGUGAGUAAUGUAUCGGAACGUGCCCAGUUGUGGGGGAUAACUGCUCGAAAGAGCAGCUAAUACCGCAUACGACCUGAGGGUGAAAGCGGGGGAUCGCAAGACCUCGCGCAAUUGGAGCGGCCGAUAUCAGAUUAGGUAGUUGGUGGGGUAAAGGCUCACCAAGCCAACGAUCUGUAGCUGGUCUGAGAGGACGACCAGCCACACUGGGACUGAGACACGGCCCAGACUCCUACGGGAGGCAGCAGUGGGGAAUUUUGGACAAUGGACGCAAGUCUGAUCCAGCCAUGCCGCGUGCGGGAAGAAGGCCUUCGGGUUGUAAACCGCUUUUGUCAGGGAAGAAACGCUCUGGGUUAAUACCUCGGGGUAAUGACGGUACCUGAAGAAUAAGCACCGGCUAACUACGUGCCAGCCGCCGCGGUAACAC